rnacentral:rRNA from 1 species
UGGGGAAUAUUGCACAAUGGGCGCAAGCCUGAUGCAGCCAUGCCGCGUGUAUGAAGAAGGCCUUCGGGUUGUAAAGUACUUUCAGUCGGGAGGAAGGUGGUAAGGUUAAUAACCUUAUCAAUUGACGUUACCGACAGAAGAAGCACCGGCUAACCCCGUGCCAGCAGCCGCGGUAAUACGGAGGGUGCAAGCGUUAAUCGGAAUUACUGGGCGUAAAGCGCACGCAGGCGGUUGAUUGAGUCAGAUGUGAAAUCCCCGGGCUUAACCCGGGAAUUGCAUCUGAUACUGGUCAGCUAGAGUCUUGUAGAGGGGGGUAGAAUUCCAUGUGUAGCGGUGAAAUGCGUAGAGAUGUGGAGGAAUACCGGUGGCGAAGGCGGCCCCCUGGACAAAGACUGACGCUCAGGUGCGAAAGCGUGGGGAGCAAACAGG